rnacentral:lncRNA from 1 species
UCAAUUUUUCUGGCCAUGGUAAAUUUGGCCCAGUAGGGGGCAAUCCUGCCAAAGAACUUUAUCAACAUUUCAUUUCACUUCAUUUCUUCCCAAGUCCAUUGCAAAACAUAUCUUUGAAAUCAGCAGACCAGUCUAAAGGUUUUUUGCUUAAUGGGUUCAACCUUUCAUAAAGGAAACUGAAAAAUCCAACUACUAGGAGCGUCUCCUAGUGAAAACUCUUGUGUUCCCAAUAUUGGACACAGACCAGAGAGUAACUGCAACCAUAGACUAAUUACAUCAACUUUCCUUGGGUUACCUUUGAGCUCCCAAACCUUUUUAGACGGGAAAACCAAUAACUACAACAUGUGGACCUGGAUGAACAGGGCAAGAAGAAAGAAGAACUACUGGCAUAUCAUGGAGUUGUGCUGAAGGACACAGAGUGUUAGAGAGGGAGGUCAGCUGUUACCAACAGUGCUAUGGAGUUUGAAGAGGUGCAAGCAGAGGCAAAAGGAAGAAACGUGUCAAGAGGAAGGCAGGUCAAGCAAACCCAUACCAGGACCAUCACCCAUCUGGAAAUUCAUUACCUCCUCCGAAUGAACUCCAAAAGAAGCUGCUGAGACAUCGUGACUAGAAUAUCAACGGGAUCUCUCUUUUGCUUUUUCCCCCCCUAUAAGAGACAAUUGUGAUUAAACUGAUGUAACUAGCCACCAG